GAACGAACGCUGGCGGCAGGCCUAACACAUGCAAGUCGAGCGCACUCUUCGGAGUGAGCGGCGGACGGGUUAGUAACGCGUGGGAAUAUGCCCUUCUCUAAGGAAUAGCCACUGGAAACGGUGAGUAAUACCUUAUACGCCCUUCGGGGGAAAGAUUUAUCGGAGAAGGAUUAGCCCGCGUAAGAUUAGAUAGUUGGUGGGGUAAUGGCCUACCAAGUCUACGAUCUUUAGCUGGUUUUAGAGGAUGAUCAGCAACACUGGGACUGAGACACGGCCCAGACUCCUACGGGAGGCAGCAGUGGGGAAUCUUGGACAAUGGGCGCAAGCCUGAUCCAGCCAUGCCGCGUGAGUGAUGAAGGCCUUAGGGUCGUAAAGCUCUUUCGCCAGAGAUGAUAAUGACAGUAUCUGGUAAAGAAACCCCGGCUAACUCCGUGCCAGCAGCCGCGGUAAUACGGAGGGGGUUAGCGUUGUUCGGAAUUACUGGGCGUAAAGCGCACGUAGGCGGAUCAGAAAGUAAGGGGUGAAAUCCCAGGGCUCAACCCUGGAACUGCCUCUUAAACUCCUGGUCUUGAGUUCGAGAGAGGUGAGUGGAAUUCCGAGUGUAGAGGUGAAAUUCGUAUGAUAUUCGGAGGAACACCANUGGCGAAGGCGGCUCACUGGCUCGAUACUGACGCUGAGGUGCGAAAGUGUGGGGAGCAAACAGGAUUAGAUACCCUGGUAGUCCACACCGUAAACGAUGAAUGCCAGUCGUCGGGUAGCAUGCUAUUCGGUGACACACCUAACGGAUUAAGCAUUCCGCCUGGGGAGUACGGUC
rnacentral:rRNA from 1 species